rnacentral:lncRNA from 1 species
ACGUGCCUAUUAUCGCACGUGCCAAAUCUGGCAUUGCGCGGCACAGCCAGGGCCCGAGAGAGAACGAAAGACCCCUUCCUCUUAAACCCUGCUCCGCAGGAACCCUAAAACCCUCCCAAUCCCACCUUCCAGCAGUUCAAACCAAACAAGAAGAAACCCAAGGAAGGAGAAGAAGAAGAGGAGGACUUUCAUCCAACAUCAAAUGGGUAAGCUACCUCCAGCCAUGCGCUCCGCCAAGCUCCCCCCUCGUCUUCCU